rnacentral:rRNA from 1 species
AUGUCCUUCUGGCGGUCUGACCAUCGCGUUGAGUGGUAUGGUAUCGCGGCGUCAACCCAACCCCACCACAUUCACGCUUGUUCCGGGCGGGAGCUUCUUGACAGCCUCCUCAAUGAAUACGUUGACAUCUUCGCAGAGCCUCGGGGCCUGCCGCCGCCUCGCACUCAUGACCAUCGCAUCCGCUUGGUGCCUGGUACCGCGCCAGUGGCUGUUCGACCAUAUCGCUACCUGGCUAUCCAAAAAGAUGAGCUCGAGAGACAGUGUGCGGACAUGUUGGAGCGCGGCCUUAUUCGCCGUAGCACUUUUGAGUUCUCUUCGCCCGUUCUUCUGGUGAAGAAGCACGACAGCUCCUGGCGAUUCUGUGUCGAUUUUCGUGGCGUCAACACCAACACCAUCAAGGACAAGUUCCCUAUUCCUGUAGUAGACGAGCUAAAGGGCGCCCUGUUCUUCACAAAGCUGGACUUGCGAUCUGGUUAUCACCAGGUGCGCAUGCAUAUUGAGGAUAUCCACAAAACAGUGUUCUGGACACACGAGGAUAUCAUCAAAGAACGCUAUCCAAGCUUCCAGCUCGAGCGGACAGGGGGUGUCCAAAUUAGUAUCAAUUAG